rnacentral:siRNA from 1 species
GAAUGUGAAAAGUGCUCCACCACA